AGUUCAAGGCUGGAAAUCUUCGUUCGGGACGAAGAGGUCGUGGGUUCGAAUCCCGCC
rnacentral:tRNA from 1 species